AUAACCUUGUUUCCUGUGAUGCGCUCUUCAAUUCCUCACUUUCUGUGAAGCAACGAUGUCUCUGGCUUUGGGAUCCUUACUGGUUUGAGAGGGGAAGACUAAGAGGAGGCUUUUAAAGCAGUUCUUGCUGUUUCUUUCUUAAAUAUAAUUAGAUGCGCCUCAUUUCCUCACACUGAAGGACUUUUGUACUUUUUCGAGCUGUGUUUUCUGAGAUCUUCCGUGGGCGACGGCUCGUUGUUUCCACUUGCAGUUGAUUGCAUUAGCAGGUCAGGACCCCUGUUCUCUAUAAAACCCAGAUGAAGAACUGUAUCCACGAAACUCAGAGGCAGUCCCUGGAGAGCAUCCCGUGUGGCUACUGUUGUGAAGCCGACCACAACCGCCCAGGAAACUCACCAGGCUCCAACACCCAGGUUUGGUCAAAGUCACAAGAUAGCCACGGAUAUACCCAGCCAUUCCCAUGAAGGGAACGCUGUAGAAGUGGGGGCGCAGGGCAGUUGCAAGCCUGUAUGGCAGAGAAGGGAAGGAAGAAAAUGCUCUCCCAUAAACCCCUUUGGACCUUCAAUCCUUUAAGAUUUAGGGAAUGGUGUUGGGGUGGAACCAUGUAAAAUAAUUAAAACAUUCGGUCCCUGUU